UCACUUCUGGAUGGACCUGCGGUGCAUUAGCUUGUUGGUGGGGUAAUGGCCUACCAAGGCGAUGAUGCAUAGCCGAGUUGAGAGACUGAUCGGCCACAAUGGGACUGAGACACGGCCCAUACUCCUACGGGAGGCAGCAGUAGGGAAUCUUCCACAAUGGGCGCAAGCCUGAUGGAGCAACACCGCGUGAGUGAAGAAGGGUUUCGGCUCGUAAAGCUCUGUUGUUAAAGAAGAACACGUAUGAGAGUAACUGUUCAUACGUUGACGGUAUUUAACCAGAAAGUCACGGCUAACUACGUGCCAGCAGCCGCGGUAAUACGUAGGUGGCAAGCGUUAUCCGGAUUUAUUGGGCGUAAAGAGAGUGCAGGCGGUUUUCUAAGUCUGAUGUGAAAGCCUUCGGCUUAACCGGAGAAGUGCAUCGGAAACUGGAUAACUUGAGUGCAGAAGAGGGUAGUGGAACUCCAUGUGUAGCGGUGAAAUGCGUAGAUAU
rnacentral:rRNA from 1 species